rnacentral:lncRNA from 1 species
ACAGAUUCGUUCUUCCCCCUUACUCUGCUCUCCAGGAAUUGGCUUUUUACAAACAUUUCCAAGGCUACUUUCGUCAACUGCCGUCAAGCUAGGUGGGAUAAAUGGGAAGCUGUGAUAUGAGUUUGGGGCCAAAGAAAGGGAUAAGUCGAGCUGGCCACACAACCGUCUCACUGCUUCAGGAAGUAGCCUGAUCUCUCUGUGGUUCUAAUUCUAAUCAGGGUUCUAAACAGCCGCUCCCACUGUGAUGUCACCUUCUGCUGUGUGGCCCUUGUUCCUUGGCUCUUUUAAUAUCUUUGCCUUCUCCCGUUGCCCUCCAGGUCUAGGAAUGGAAGUGUUUUGCUGAUGUAGCUAAUGUUGGGGUCAAAGAAAGAAUAUAAUACACUUAUGAAAAAGAGACAGCCUCAUCAAUCCAGUUUUUCUUGGCUCAGUCAGCAGAAGAAACAGAAAUGCUGUCAUUGCUUACAUGUGAGAUAAAGGAUAAAAAGAGGGAAUGUGUUGGUUUACUGCAAAGGCCAUUCUUUUGGUUUGAGAACAUUGCUGGAAAUAACCUGAGCUGAGAAAAGCUCCCUAUGAGGAAUACAUGUUAUGGGAAACUGUUAAAGGCAAAGCUUGGUCACUGACCUUCUCCGUGUAGUUUAAUCAAGCUGCAAGCACCCCACCAAAAAAGACAGCUGCUUAAAGAAGAGAGCCCUCAACAAGCCAGGACAUUUUACCUUUCCUCUAUUACAUGAGUUGGGGAUAAGACACAAGUGCGCAAUAAAUUUCUAGUUCUCGCAUUCAGAGGCUGCACUAUAAUAAUGAUAGACUAUAAAUCACAGAAAAAAUGUUACCUUUAUUUUAGGACGGUCGAUAGCUAGAAACAGUGCUCACCAAUAGCACAGAUGUCUAGCAGAUAUAAAAACAAAUGCUUGGCAGUUGUUUAAAAAUGGGAAGUACGAGGAUCUGCCCCGAAAUAUAUUAGAAAACAGCAGCAGUUCAUCGUUUUGUCAAGUUUCCAGUUUUGCAAUUUACUAUUUUUUUAAAAAAAAAUCCCGUGUUCCGUUGUUGAAGAUAGAACUGCAACUUUGGGAAAGAGAAAAAAUUUUGGUCACGCAUUUCUGCAAAACUCUUGUAAACAUUUGUGGAUGGUAUCUACAUACACGAGCUUUUAUAUAAAUGUGUUUUAAAGUUUAAGGAAAAUUGAACGUGAGGAAUUGAAGUAAGAUGAGGCUGUAUACGAAUGGGAGGCUCCUGCAAGGACCCGAGGGGACUGGAACUAGGAUUUCAAUGUGCCAACUAUUAGCUAAUUGUGAAGAUGACACUGCCUGGCCAGACUCAGAGUCCACAUCCCAGCGGCUGCCUCAAAAGAGCUGUUAGAAGAAGAAAAUGCUCAUUUGUUGCAACUGAGACCAUGUGCUCUGAAAUCCAGUCAUGGGCAUUGGAAAUGGAGAUCCCUCUAAAAACUGUGGCAAUGCUGAGGGUCCAAGAGGCUCUUGAUACCACUCCUGGAGAGGUUGUUUUCUCUGGAAGCAGGAACUGAGAGUGAAUUUGGGUUUUCAUCACCUCUGCGAAAGGGAUUUUUUUUCUCCCCAGUGAAAAAGAUGGAUUGACUAUUCAGGGAGCCUGAUGUCCAAGACUGAGCCAGUGUAUUUUGGCAUUGUUUUAUUCUAACCUCCACCAGAUGUUGUGGAAAAAGGAUUUUAAUUGUGGUGAUGAAGUGUGAGUUUAAUGAACCAAAGCUCAGAAGUUCUGGACAUGAAGUCUUGUCUGAGAGGAAGCCCAGAGAAUGAGCUGGUCAAGAUGCUUCUUCCUUCUAGCACAGUGUGCCAACUUCAUAUUACCAUUGUCACUAGCAAUACUUUGAUUUUUCUUAUGUUGGUUCAAAACAUUUCCAUAAAUUGCAAUUACUUCUCACAGUGUCGAAUACAUUUUCCUUGACAAAGGUGAUUAUUAGUUAUUAAAGUCUAAUCCCAUAUGAAAUUUGUGAAUUGUUAAGCCUAUUUCUUAACUAGUCAAGAGCAAAUCCUUUCUUCUCAUACUUUUUCAUGCUAAUGUUGCAUGUUAUCACCUGCAUGACAGGAGAAAAUUUUUCAGGCAAAGAAGUUCCCUCUAGAGAAGAACAAGGGCAGUUAUCCCGUUCUAACUAUAUCAUGAUGGACUUUGAUCUUUCCAUCUUUCCAGUUCUCUUCAGGAUUAUGUUCACUAAUUGAGGAAUGGAAAGACUGCUGUUGCAAGAGAGAAAAAUCUGGAAAAACAGGUCUUAUACUGAAGAGAAUUAUCAAAUCAAAAGCACAAGUGAAAAUUGAAAUAUUGACAAGGAAGAGGAACAGAAGAAAGAACUGAGAGAAAAUGUAUAGAUAUUCUUUAAGGAACAGAAAAAUAUUGAUGGAACAAAAUUGUAUGAUAUUAACAUUCUAGGAAAAAUAUCAGGCAAGCGUAUCAGUCAGUGUUCUCCAGAGAAACAGAACCAAUAGGAAAUUUAUAUAUAUAUGAUCUACAUAUCCUAUCAUACAUCAAGAGAUUUAUUUUAAGGAAUUGGCUCACAUAGUUUGGAGAUUGGUAAGUUUGAAAGUCAUAAGGCAGGCCAGCAAGCUAGAAACUCAGGCAGGAAUUGAUGCUGAAGUCUUGAGGCAGAAUUUCUCCUUCUUCAGGAAACCUCCAUUUUUCUCUUAAGGCCUUCAACGUGUUGGAUGAGGCCUAUCCACAUUAUCAAGGGCAAUAUGCUUUACUUAAACUGAACUGGUUAUAGAUAUUAACCAUAAUCUAUCAAUACCCUGAUUUGAGUUUGAUUAAAUAAACUGAGUACUAUAGCCUCACCAAGUAGACGCAUAAAAUUAACCAUCACAGGAAUAUUAUAUGCAAAGUUCAGGUUGAGUAAGAAGGCAAAGGAUACAGCUGGUCCAAAGUAGCUGCCAGUAUGUAUCUUCCAUUUGUUGCGAAAGGUAGAGGAAAGAAUGUGAGAG